rnacentral:piRNA from 1 species
UGGGAAGAUUGAGUAAUGGGCCAUUUUGU